CUCUGUGACUGAGGCGGCGGCGGUGGCGGCCGAGCGGGAUACGGGCGGCGGGAGCUGGGGAACAGGCAUGGACGUUUCGGGGCAAGAGACAGACUGGCGGAGCACCGCCUUCCGGCAGAAGCUGGUCAGUCAAAUGAUCUCACUCUGUCACUCAGGCUGAAGUGCAGUGGCGUGAUUGUGGCUCACUGUAACCUCCACCUCCUGGGCUCAAGUGAUCCUCCCACAUCAGCCUCCCAAGUAGCUGGGACCACAGCGAGGAUGCCAUGAGGAAAGCUGGUGUGGCACACAGUAAAUCCAGCAAGGAUAUGGAGAGCCAUGUUUUCCUGAAGGCCAAGACCCGGAUCCUAUGAAUGCACUCCAGAGCCUGACUGGCGGACCCGCCGCGGGAGCCGCCGGAAUUGGCAUGCCUCCUCGGGGCCCGGGACAGUCUCUGGGCGGGAUGGGUAGCCUUGGUGCCAUGGGACAGCCAAUGUCUCUCUCAGGGCAGCCGCCUCCUGGGACCUCGGGCAUGGCCCCUCACAGCAUGGCUGUCGUGUCUACGGCAACUCCACAGACCCAGCUGCAGCUCCAG
rnacentral:sRNA from 1 species